ACGUAGGGGGCAAGCGUUGUCCGGAUUUAUUGGGCGUAAAGCGCGCGUAGGCGGUUUCUUAAGUCUGAUGUGAAAUCUUGCGGCUCAACCGCAAGCGGUCAUUGGAAACUGGGGAACUUGAGUGCAGAAGAGGAGAGUGGAAUUCCACGUGUAGCGGUGAAAUGCGUAGAGAUGUGGAGGAACACCAGUGGCGAAGGCGACUCUCUGGUCUGUAACUGACGCUGAGGUGCGAAAGCGUGGGUAGCGAACAGGA
rnacentral:rRNA from 1 species